ACCGGAUGACCUCGGGAGAGCAAAGCUCCGGCGCCCCGGGAGGGGCCCACGUGGUAUUAGGUUGUUGGCGGGGUAACGGCCCACCAAGCCUGAGAUGCCUAGCGGGUGUGAGAGCACGACCCGCGCCACUCGCACUGAGACACUGGCGAGACACCCACGGGUGGCUGCAGAAUCG
rnacentral:rRNA from 1 species